GGAAGAACAAGGGAAGAGAGUUCAAGAAAACAGCCAGAAGCAUAAGACAAAACAGGAGCAAGAGACAAUGAAGUUAAAUAUGGGCAGAGAAAGAAUGGAAGAAGAGAUAAAGAUGAUGGAUGCAGAACAUGAUAAAGCCAAUAUGUCAAGGAGACUGGAAGAGAAGAGUAUGAGUGCUCUGGAAGAAGAAGAGGAGAAGAGGAGGAGGGUAAAGAAGGAAGUUGAGACAGAGAUGGUGAAAGGACAUCCCUCCCCUGCAGAGAAGUUAGAGUCUGAUGAUAAAGUAUUGAGGAAAGAAGGAAAGAAAGGCAGGAAUAAAGACAAGGAGAUCCUGACGGAGGACAAAGAACUUAUGAUGAAGCCCGAAAAGACAGCACAUGCAAAUUCAGAGAAUGUUCUCCUGAAGUCACCUUUACAAGGAGAUCACCUCUCUCCCAUCGUGGAAAAGGUGACGUCAAAACAUUUGCCACCAUUAGAAGACAUGUGCAAGCAUCAGCUAGAUGAUGGUUCUAAUGCAGCAAUGGAUGAGGAAUGCAUGAGGAAGCAAAAGAAAAAGGCAAAAGACACAAGAAAAAGAAACAUACAGGCUGAAAAAAGGAAAUACAACGAGGUAAAAAGAUUGGAAAUGGACCGGGACACAACGGAGAAAGAGAAAGAGAAGAUGGUUGAAGAAAAAAAGAAAGCCGAGCUGAUUAGGAGACUGGAGGAGGAGAGACUGAAGGCUUUGGCACAAGUGACAGAAACAGACAAGGCAAAGGAACAGAAGGAUGGUGAUAUGAAGGCAGACAUAUUGAGGGUGGAAGAACAAGGGAAGAGAGUUCAAGAAAACAGCCAGAAGCAUAAGACAAAACAGGAGCAAGAGACAAUGAAGUUAAAUAUGGGCAGAGAAAGAAUGGAAGAAGAGAUAAAGAUGAUGGAGGAGCAAGAAAAGAAAUGGGUGGAAGAGGAAAUAAGAAAGGGAGAGAUGAUCAUAAUGGAGAAGCAAAGAGAGGACGAAAGAAAGGAAGAGGCAGUGAGGUUGGAGAUGAACAGAGAGAGAAUGGAGGAAGAGAUAAAGAAGAUGGAUGCAGAACAUGAUAAAGCCAAUAUGUCAAGGAGACUGGAAGAGAAGAGUAUGAGUGCUCUGGAAGAAGAAGAAGAGAGGAGGAGGAGGGUAAAGAAGGAAGUUGAGACAGAGAUGGUGAAAGGACAUCCCUCCCCUGCAGAAAAGUUAGAGUCUGAUGAUAAAGUCUUGAGAGAUCCUGCAGAAUGUGAAAAAGAAGGAAAGAAAGGCAGGAAUAAAGGCAAGAAGAUCCUGACGGAGGACAAAGAACCUAUGAUGAAGCCCGAAAAGACAGCACAUGCAAAUUCAGAGAAUGUUCUCCUGAAGUCACCUUUACAAGGAGAUCACCUCUCUCCCAUCGUGGAAAAGGUGACGUCAAAACCUUUGGCACCAUUACAAGACGUGUGCAAGCAUCAGCUAGAUGAUGGUUCUAAUGCAGCAAUGGAUGCGGAAUGCAUGAGGAAGCAAAAGAAAAAGGCAAAAGACACAAGAAAAAGAAACAUACAGGCUGAAAAAAGGAAAUACAACGAGGUAAAAAGAUUGGAAAUGGACCGGGACACAACGGAGAAAGAGAAAGAGAAGAUGGUUGAAGAAAAAAAGAAAGCCGAGCUGAUUAGGAGACUGGAGGAGGAGAGACUGAAGGCUUUGGCACAAGUGAAAGAAACGUUGAAAGCAAAAAAAGCUAUUCGAAUGUAAACACUAUCGGAAGGGCCAUCUUCCGAAUAAGAUAAUCAGAGACCUAAGACAAAUGUCAUCAUUCCAGAUACUCACAGUAUUGUAUUUGAUCUUCUUUCACUAUUUUUGACAAUUUGCCUUGAAGACACCCCACA
ensembl:lncRNA